rnacentral:lncRNA from 13 species
AGAUUUAGCCAGCUGACUUUGUGAUGUAACAAAGGUAGCUGAUGAUGUAAUGAAAACAGACAGUUAAAUAUGUGUGUGUAGAACUGUUGCACAUUUGCUCUGGAAAUGAGGACCAAACCUACUCGUCAAAAGGAGUGAAUUGCACCUCCAAUUGAAGUCAAUAAUAAGUUUGAGAGAUCAUCCCGGGCUUUGCCCCGUCUGCUGUAGCUGAGAUGUCCCUGGAGGACAUAGAACAACAAGACUAUGAUGUUUCUGACACUGAGAGAGUCAGGUAAGGCCACUUACACUCUGUCCAGUUAGAUAUUUGUGUGGAGAUUAAGAGAGACAGACUAAUAAGAAAGAACUUGUUAUGGGCAGGUCAGGCGUCAUUCAUUGAGUCAUUUGUAGGGUCAAGUCUUUGACAUGAAGACAGUGGUUAGAUUCUGCCAUUGGGACUGCUCUGAUGUUUCCAUUCUCUCCUGGUUAUGACCAUAGAGCCUUGUCCCAGUCUCUAGACCUGCCUGUCUGUGUGAUGGAUGACCACCUGACCUCUGAAGCUGUCAAUGAGAUGCAAAGCAGCACUGUGGAAACCACAGAAGAAGAGAGCCUCAACAGUGCGAAAAAUCUUGAGUCUUUUUCACUGAUUAUCAACUUCCUGCAGAACCUAACUGAGGAGUAUGUUCUAUUUUCUUUGGUACAGUACUACUAUCAAACCUGUAAAGGAUUGUAUGAAAGCAGAUUCAUCAACUACAUUUCCAUUGCAGAAAAAGUUACAUCACACCACAAUGUUGUCAAAACAAUUGCUACAAAGCAUGUGUAAAAUACUGUUUAAUCUGAUGACUCUACUGACCGACAUUUCUGACAAUAUUAAUACUAUUAAUAUGAAUAAUUCAUAUGAAUCAUUUUCAGGCAAUGGAGUAGGAUUCGUAAUGGCAUUUCUGACCCGGUAAGAUCUGAAAGCUUAUUUAGAAUACAAUGAUCACUGAAUGUUUAGCCUUGUUCAUAAGCUUUUGAAAGACGCACUAUGCAACAUUUUAAAACACUUCUUCUGUUUCUGGAAUACAGCUGACAAAACAACAGCUUGUCGGCUUGUGUCUGAGGAUUGUCC